rnacentral:rRNA from 1 species
CACGUAGGGCGCAAGCGUUGUCCGGAAUUAUUGGGCGUAAAGAGCUCGUAGGCGGUCUGUUGCGUCCGCUGUGAAAACUCGGGGCUUAACCCCGAGCCUGCAGUGGAUACGGGCAGACUAGAGGUAGGUAGGGGAGAAUGGAAUUCCCGGUGUAGCGGUGAAAUGCGUUGAUAUCCAAUGGAACUCCGGUGGCGAAGGCGAGGUGCUGGACCCUUUCUGACGCUGAGGCGCGAAAGCCAGGGGAGCAAACGGG